GAGUUACAGAUCGCGCUUCGGAGAGAAGAAGGAGAGAAGAAGGAGAGAAGCUUCUCAUUAAGGCAGCGGAUUUUGCUGCACUUGUGAAGGAAGGCUGUGUCCUCCAACAAGUGUUUAACUGUGACAAAACUUGAUUUAUUCUGGGAAAAAAAUGCCACGGAGGACGUAUAUAAAACAACAGAGGAGAAGAAGCUGUUUCAUUGACUGGUUGUGCUUCAGCACUUUUUAAUGUCACUUGUCCGUCACAUUUCCGCAAGAUUUUGAAAAGCGGGCAGAAGCAAACUCCUUGGAUAAGUUUUUAUCCAAAAGACCAACAAGUUUACAGUUAAAGUUACAUCUGAAUGAUCCUUUUAAGGAUCUACAGUUUAAGUUUAGUUUGUGUUUACAGUGUGCACAAACCUCCGUCUCUAGGAUACGAUCUCAGGCACAGUUUAAGUGCCAGGUCCAGUUCGGGCAACGGACCUGACAUUUUCCUGGCGCGUCGACACAUCCUCCCUCCGUAACCAGAAGACGACGCGCCGCAACCCCGUUAGACGGAGGAAAAGACCACCACUUCAAAUGUGGCCGGCGUUCUAGACUAAAGUCGACUUGUGGUUUGGAGGAGGGAUUGACGACGCUCUACGAAGCCACUAGAAUCACAAUUUUGACGUAAGUAAGGAGUCUUUUGUGUGAGAUUGUGGACUUUAAGUUAAUCACUGCAGUGUAACUAAAACACAGGAAGACCGUUCAACACGUGACCUGUGACGGGAAGACAGAUUUAUUCUGUCGAUGUGAUGUUUGCCACAGGAAGACAGUUAACACUUGACCUGGAGGGCAAUUCUAAGACUAUUAUUUACAUCAAAGAGAGACAACUGUGACGUGUAGGAUUUUUUUUUUCCUCCAGAUGAUUUCGCAAAUUCUAAUUGGACAUUUUAAAAAAGUACCGAAAACCCAAGUUUAUCUGAAGGGGUAAUGAAUGAUAAAUGAAUGGAAUGUAUGACUGGGAACGAUCGUAAGCGAAUUCCUGUAACUCCGGUUGCAGUGUAGCUUGCGUGACAUUCCAUACGCACAAAAACUCAACAGCGAUCGCAAGGAAGCAGAGGCAAGGUCGACCCGCCCAAUCUAAGGAUUUGGUAGAAGCUUGGUCGGCACCUCGCGGACGCGCCAGAGUCAUUAAAGGGGUCUUGAAAUACCACUGAUUUAGAUGGCCCUAGGCCUAACCCCCUCAGUGGUCUAAAAUGGGAAACACACAGGGUACAUUAAAACUCGAGGGCGACCCCAAAUAUAUGGAAAGGGUCUCCCCGGGAUCCACACAGUACUGUAAUGACUGGAAAAAGAAAUAUGGUUUCACAAAUAAACUUGUGGUGGAAAAUUGUCAAAAGUUUGUAAGUGACGUCACACUUCAAGUAGCCACAAAGACAAGAAAGAGUAAGUUAAAAAAGGAGGAAGAAUUGAAAGUAGCGAAGAGAUGGUUAGAUGAGGCACAGAAGAGACAGAAAGCAAUCAAUGACAGGAAGAGUCAGAAAGGAAAGGACAAGAUAAUGUAUGUAAGACCUGAAGAUAAUGAAACAGUGACCGGACGACAACAGCCACCAUUACAGCCGAGACCACAACCUGGACAACAAAUUGUACAACAACCAUCACAGCAGAAUGCACAAGAACAACAACAACAAUCACAACUUACAGACUCUGGAAGUACACCCUGGAGCUUAGAUCUACAUUAAAGUAAUCAAAAGGAAAUCUUGGUCCAGCCCAAAGUGGGAAGGGCCAUUCCAAGUGUUAUUAACAACACCAACUGCAGUUAAAAUUGCCGAGAGGUUGAGUUGGAUCCACCUAAGUCACUGUAAGCUGGUAAACUCCUGGACAACCCAGAGGAAAAGGCAUCCAGCCCAGAGGAAAAGAUCAUCUUGGGUGCAUCUAUCCCACAACAAAGACAAAGACCAAAGGUUGAAGCAGACGAGUAACCAGCUGUGACCAAGGAGAGGCCUGUCAAAUCAGACCAGGAUCAGAAGCAGACGUACUACAAGCUUGAAAUAAGAGCACUGAAGCUGACAUGACCAGACCAGGAGACAGAAGCAGACGAAACUGCAUCUUUGAAAACAGGAGACAAGACGAUCCUGUUCAAAUCCUGUGCACCUGUGUUUAAAAGAAACAUCAAGAACAGGGCACAGGACAGAGUACAUGACACAUUAUCUUAAGUCCACUUGCAACAUGUCUUACACAUACUGAUAAUAGUAGAGAUUUAUGCACUACAACUGAAGGGAAAUAACAGAAAAAAAAAAAAAAAAAAAAAGGUUCCAGAUUCCCUCAGUCCCU